AUAUAAGAAAUAGCAUCAUGACAAAGAAUAUAUAAAGACAGUUUCAUUUUUUAUAAAUAAAAAUUUGUUGUUCCAGAUUUUGAAAUAUAGUGAAACGUUUAAUUAGUAUCUUAAUAUCUUUAAAUAAUUAUUAUUUUAGAAUCAAUUGUAAUUGUAUCAUACGUACUUUUGAAUUCAUGCAAGAACAUAUGUAAUUUUGAAGUAGUUAUUAUUAGGAAAUUGUUAGACGCGAACAGUAUGCGAAAAGUUAGUAUGUAGUGUAAUAAUUAUCAAUCAAAGCACAAGAAUUAAAUUCUUGAGGAAAAAAUUUCCGGAAUUUCUUAUUUACAUGAUUAUAAAGAAAUCCAUAAUAAAAAGGAGCUGUUUUCUAAUACUUCUCUUCCUUGUAAUGCCUACGUUAAUAAUAACGAGGUUCGACUUUUUGUUUUUAGAGGGAUACUGGAAAAUUUGAAAGUACAGUACCAUUGGGAAGAAAAUCACGAUAUUGAAAACGAUAUUUGCAAAUUGAACAAUAUUCCAGAUUUAUUCAUAAUUUCAUACUACGCGAAGAAUAGACUUUCAUAGGUAUAUAAAGGAAAUAUUAAGUAUUGGAAAACUCUUUUUCGUUGUAGGUGACAUAUGCUUCACGGUUGAACACAUGUAUUUUUGAACACAUAUAAAUGAAGAAGUACUCUUAUGGAGAAAAAGAAUUGAUACCUUCGAUUGACAUUAGAUAAUGUAUAUAAACUUAUGAACAAUCACUAUCAGUUUGUAUUUUAGGUGCACACGCAGAUUUGUUGGAGUUCUUAUAAAAUGUACUUCCUGUACGAACGUUUUAUUCUUCCAAAUUUUACGAUACUAUGUCUCAUAUAAUAACUAUAUGGAUUAAACGUAAUAUAAAUGAUCCGAAAAUAGACUCGAACGACAUUAAUUGUCUUUCUAUUUAUACCAAUAUUGAAAAUACAAGUAAAGCUGGAGCAAUAGUAUGCAAGAAUGGACUAUUUAUUAUUUUAAACCAAAUCAUAGCAUAUUCAGAAUGCACAAUAUUAUCAUGAAAUGUAAAUGAAUCAGUUGUAAACGAACGAUUUUACUGUAAAAUCAUUGCCACCUUUUUUUCAUCUGAAAUAUAGCAGCAAUGAGUACAUUCUUUUAAUAUAUAAUAAAACGAGAUAUCUUUAUAAAGUUACAUAUGUCAUCACUGGUAACUGUUAUCUCGUAUGACACCAAAUAUACCGUUAGUAUGGAAUGAUAUUUUUAUGAAGAUAUACUUUAAUGAUAGAUUUUAUGAAUGAAACGUUAUAUAAGAAAAAUUAUCUCUUGUUAUUCUAUGAAGUGUAGUAGCUAAUGAAGAUUAAUUUUACGAAGUAUUAGGGCAAAAGAGAAUUAAAAAAUUAAAAAGAUCUAAAUAAGAUUGUUCGUGUGGCUUAAUUAUCUCAAUUCUGGUACACCACUUGUUACAUUCUAACUACUUAGCGCUAAACAAUAACUUGCAAAUAUUAAAGAUAUUAACACCUUAAUAUUAACACCUAAAGGUUUUCAGGAAAUUUUAUAAUAUUUGAUUAUUGUAUAUCUAGUCAUUGAUUGAUAAAAUUUCUUGUAUAAGCAUAGAUCGAGGUUGACGUCAUACGCAGAUUGCAUUACAGGUAUCGUUUUAAUUUAUUUUAUGGCUAGAAUCAUUUGAAUAUUAUACGAAUAAUUAUUUCCAUUCGAACGAUUAAUAAAUCACGUACCUAUAAAAGAUAUAUUAUGAAAAAGACGUGACGAAACAAAAAAAUAUUGGAAAUUCCAUUGUCAUUAGAUCAAUUAUUUUUGCAAUGAUUUUUAUUUCCAUGUAAUUACAUAUGAAAUGGGUAAUUCAUUAACAUCUCCUCGAAUCGAAUAUAAUUCGUUACACUUCACAACGAUUCAAAUAAUGGACGGGAAAUAUAUAAUAACUUUCCUGUCCUUGCGUUAAAAUAGUACUGUACAAAUCAGAUGAUACAGGAAAUAUCCAAAAAACCCAAUUACAUCCACAUUGCAUGACAGCACACUUGCAAUGGAUUUUUGUGAUUUCAAUGUCACAGACAAUGACACAACUAAUCAGAACACGUUCGAGGCUAUAGACAUUGAAAUUACCGCGUGUUUAAUACGUUUAAAGCAUAAAUCUAAAUUUCACGCGAUUAUUUCUUUGUACAUUGUGAAACUCUUAAAUUAUCUUAAUCGAAUAAAUAAUCCUAAUGUAAUAAAACA